CGUAGGGGGCUAGCGUUGUCCGGAAUCAUUGGGCGUAAAGCGCGUGUAGGCGGUCCGGUAAGUCCGCUGUGAAAGUCGGGGGCUCAACCCUCGGAUGCCGGUGGAUACUGUCGGGCUUGAGUACGGAAGAGGCGAGUGGAAUUCCUGGUGUAGCGGUGAAAUGCGCAGAUAUCAGGAGGAACACCAAUUGCGAAGGCAGCUCGCUGGGACGUUACUGACGCUGAGACGCGAAAGCGUGGGGAGCAAACAGGAUUAGAUACCCUGGUAGUCCACGCUGUAAACGAUGGGCACUAGGUGUGGGGGGUGUCGACUCCCUCCGUGCCGAAGCUAACGCAUUAAGUGCCCCGCCUGGGGAGUACGGCCGCAAGGCUAA
rnacentral:rRNA from 1 species